rnacentral:rRNA from 1 species
GAUGAACGCUGACAGAAUGCUUAACACAUGCAAGUCGACUCGAGUCUUCGGACUUGGGUGGCGCACGGGUGAGUAACGCGUAAAGAACUUGCCUCUUAGACCGGGACAACAUCUGGAAACGGAUGCUAAUACCGGAUAUUAUGGUUUUUUCGCAUGGAGGAAUCAUGAAAGCUAGAUGCGCUAAGAGAGAGCUUUGCGUCCCAUUAGCUAGUUGGUGAGGUAACGGCCCACCAAGGCAAUGAUGGGUAGCCGGCCUGAGAGGGUGAACGGCCACAAGGGGACUGAGACACGGCCCUUACUCCUACGGGAGGCAGCAGUGGGGAAUAUUGGACAAUGGACCACAAGUCUGAUCCAGCAAUUCUGUGUGCACGAUGACGUUUUUCGGAAUGUAAAGUGCUUUCAGUCGGGAAGAAGUCAGUGACGGUACCGACAGAAGAAGCGACGGCUAAAUACGUGCCAGCAGCCGCGGUAAUACGUAUGUCGCAAGCGUUAUCCGGAUUUAUUGGGCGUAAAGCGCGUCUAGGCGGCAAGGAAAGUCUGAUGUGAAAAUGCGGAGCUCAACUCCGUAUGGCGUUGGAAACUGCCUUACUAGAGUACUGGAGAGGUGGGCGGAACUACAAGUGUAGAGGUGAAAUUCGUAGAUAUUUGUAGGAAUGCCGAUGGGGAAGCCAGCCUACUGGACAGAUACUGACGCUAAAGCGCGAAAGCGUGGGUAGCAAACAGG